rnacentral:rRNA from 1 species
GCAUCGAUGAAGAACGCAGCGAAACGCGAUAGGUAAUGUGAAUUGCAGAAUUCCGUGAAUCAUCGAAUCUUUGAACGCACCUUGCGCUCCAUGGCAUUCCGUGGAGCAUGCCUGUUUGAGUGCCGCGAAAUCUCCCACCCCUAGCGGUUGCCGCAAGGCGCCGCCGGGCGGCGGGGUUGGUUGGGUGCCGCUGCCUGGGCUUUGGCCCAGGCUCGCCCGAAAUGCAUGAGCGCUUAGCACUCGCACCGUCUCGAGGGAAGGCGGCGGAGCUGGCAUCUGCGCAUGGCAUGAUACGUCAUUUGCUGUGUGGCAGCCCAGCGACCCGAGAGUGUGUGUGCGCUACUACACGCCCUUUCAUUUCUGGUCUCAAAUCGGGUAGGAUCACCCGCUGAACUUAAGCAUAUCAAUAAGCGGAGGAA